rnacentral:rRNA from 1 species
UACGGGGGGGGUAAGCGUUGUUCGGAAUUACUGGGCGUAAAGGGCUCGUAGGCGGCCAACUAAGUCAUACGUGAAAUCCCUCAGCUUAACUGGGGAACUGCGUGUGAUACUGGAUGGCUUGGAUUUGGGAGAGGGAUGCGGAAUUCCAGGUGUAGCGGUGAAAUGCGUAGAUAUCGAGAGGAACACCUGCGGCGAAGGCGGGUUGCUGGGCUGACACUGACGCUGAGGCGCGAAAGCCAGGGGAGCGAACGGG